UAUGGCAGAGGAAACAGGUUUAAGGUGACAGGGGAAAGAUUUAAUAAGAACCAGAGGGGUCACGUUUUCACACUGAGGGUAGUGCAUGUAUAGAACGAGCUGUCAGA